GGAAGGUAGCCCCGAUUGGUCGGGAACUGGUCUUGAAAACCAGGCGGCGGUAAAACGUCAGAGUUCGAUUCUUUUACUUUCCG
rnacentral:tRNA from 1 species